CUACGGGCCGCUGCAGUGAGGAAUUUUGCGCAAUGGGGGGAACCCUGACGCAGCAACGCCGUGUGAGUGAAGAAGGCCUUUGGGUCGUAAAGCUCUGUCAACUGGGAAGAAGUUACUAUGCUUAAAUAGAGUGUAGUAUUGACGGUACCAGUGGAGGAAGCGUCGGCUAACUCCGUGCCAGCAGCCGCGGUAACACGGGUGGACGCAAGCGUUAUUCGGAAUUAUUGGGCGUAAAGGGCGCGUAGGCGGUCUUGUCGGUCAGGUGUGAAAGCCCGGGGCUCAACCCCGGACGUGCACUUGAAACAGCAAGACUUGAGUACGGGAGAGGAAAGCGGAAUUCCUGGUGUAGAGGUGAAAUUCGUAGAUAUCAGGAGGAGCACCGAUGGCGAAGGCAGCUUUCUGGACCGAAACUGACGCUGAGGCGCGAAGGCGUGGGUAGCGAACGGGAUUAGAUACCCUUGUAGUC
rnacentral:rRNA from 1 species